rnacentral:rRNA from 1 species
UACAGAGGUCUCAAGCGUUGUUCGGAUUCAUUGGGCGUAAAGGGUGCGUAGGCGGCUCGGUAAGUCGGGUGUGAAAUCUCGGAGCUUAACUCCGAAACUGCAUUCGAUACUGCCGUGCUUGAGGACUGGAGAGGAGACUGGAAUUUACGGUGUAGCGGUGAAAUGCGUAGAUAUCGUAAGGAAGACCAGUGGCGAAGGCGGGUCUCUGGACAGUUACUGACGCUGAGGCACGAAGGUCAGGGGAGCAAACGGG